rnacentral:rRNA from 1 species
GGGUUGUGAGGUUAAGCGACUAAGCGUACACGGUGGAUGCCCUGGCAGUCAGAGGCGAUGAAGGACGUGCUAAUCUGCGAUAAGCGUCGGUAAGGUGAUAUGAACCGUUAUAACCGGCGAUUUCCGAAUGGGGAAACCCAGUGUGUUUCGACACACUAUCAUUAACUGAAUCCAUAGGUUAAUGAGGCGAACCGGGGGAACUGAAACAUCUAAGUACCCCGAGGAAAAGAAAUCAACCGAGAUUCCCCCAGUAGCGGCGAGCGAACGGGGAGCAGCCCAGAGCCUGAAUCAGUGUGUGUGUUAGUGGAAGCGUCUGGAAAGGCGCGCGAUACAGGGUGACAGCCCCGUACACAAAAAUGCACAUGCUGUGAGCUCGAUGAGUAGGGCGGGACACGUGGUAUCCUGUCUGAAUAUGGGGGGACCAUCCUCCAAGGCUAAAUACUCCUGACUGACCGAUAGUGAACCAGUACCGUGAGGGAAAGGCGAAAAGAACCCCGGCGAGGGGAGUGAAAAAGAACCUGAAACCGUGUACGUACAAGCAGUGGGAGCACGCUUAGGCGUGUGACUGCGUACCUUUUGUAUAAUGGGUCAGCGACUUAUAUUCUGUAGCAAGGUUAACCGAAUAGGGGAGCCGAAGGGAAACCGAGUCUUAACUGGGCGUUAAGUUGCAGGGUAUAGACCCGAAACCCGGUGAUCUAGCCAUGGGCAGGUUGAAGGUUGGGUAACACUAACUGGAGGACCGAACCGACUAAUGUUGAAAAAUUAGCGGAUGACUUGUGGCUGGGGUGAAAGGCCAAUCAAACCGGGAGAUAGCUGGUUCUCCCGAAAGCUAUUUAGGUAGCGCCUCGUGAAUUCAUCUCCGGGGGUAGAGCACUGUUUCGGCAAGGGGGUCAUCCCGACUUACCAACCCGAUGCAAACUGCGAAUACCGGAGAAUGUUAUCACGGGAGACACACGGCGGGUGCUAACGUCCGUCGUGAAGAGGGAAACAACCCAGACCGCCAGCUAAGGUCCCAAAGUCAUGGUUAAGUGGGAAACGAUGUGGGAAGGCCCAGACAGCCAGGAUGUUGGCUUAGAAGCAGCCAUCAUUUAAAGAAAGCGUAAUAGCUCACUGGUCGAGUCGGCCUGCGCGGAAGAUGUAACGGGGCUAAACCAUGCACCGAAGCUGCGGCAGCGACACUAUGUGUUGUUGGGUAGGGGAGCGUUCUGUAAGCCUGUGAAGGUGUGCUGUGAGGCAUGCUGGAGGUAUCAGAAGUGCGAAUGCUGACAUAAGUAACGAUAAAGCGGGUGAAAAGCCCGCUCGCCGGAAGACCAAGGGUUCCUGUCCAACGUUAAUCGGGGCAGGGUGAGUCGACCCCUAAGGCGAGGCCGAAAGGCGUAGUCGAUGGGAAACAGGUUAAUAUUCCUGUACUUGGUGUUACUGCGAAGGGGGGACGGAGAAGGCUAUGUUGGCCGGGCGACGGUUGUCCCGGUUUAAGCGUGUAGGCUGGUUUUCCAGGCAAAUCCGGAAAAUCAAGGCUGAGGCGUGAUGACGAGGCACUACGGUGCUGAAGCAACAAAUGCCCUGCUUCCAGGAAAAGCCUCUAAGCAUCAGGUAACAUCAAAUCGUACCCCAAACCGACACAGGUGGUCAGGUAGAGAAUACCAAGGCGCUUGAGAGAACUCGGGUGAAGGAACUAGGCAAAAUGGUGCCGUAACUUCGGGAGAAGGCACGCUGAUAUGUAGGUGAAGCGACUUGCUCGUGGAGCUGAAAUCAGUCGAAGAUACCAGCUGGCUGCAACUGUUUAUUAAAAACACAGCACUGUGCAAACACGAAAGUGGACGUAUACGGUGUGACGCCUGCCCGGUGCCGGAAGGUUAAUUGAUGGGGUCAGCGCAAGCGAAGCUCUUGAUCGAAGCCCCGGUAAACGGCGGCCGUAACUAUAACGGUCCUAAGGUAGCGAAAUUCCUUGUCGGGUAAGUUCCGACCUGCACGAAUGGCGUAAUGAUGGCCAGGCUGUCUCCACCCGAGACUCAGUGAAAUUGAACUCGCUGUGAAGAUGCAGUGUACCCGCGGCAAGACGGAAAGACCCCGUGAACCUUUACUAUAGCUUGACACUGAACAUUGAGCCUUGAUGUGUAGGAUAGGUGGGAGGCUUUGAAGUGUGGACGCCAGUCUGCAUGGAGCCGACCUUGAAAUACCACCCUUUAAUGUUUGAUGUUCUAACGUUGACCCGUAAUCCGGGUUGCGGACAGUGUCUGGUGGGUAGUUUGACUGGGGCGGUCUCCUCCUAAAGAGUAACGGAGGAGCACGAAGGUUGGCUAAUCUGGUCGGACAUCAGGAGGUUAGUGCAAUGGCAUAAGCCAGCUUGACUGCGAGCGUGACGGCGCGAGCAGGUGCGAAAGCAGGUCAUAGUGAUCCGGUGGUUCUGAAUGGAAGGGCCAUCGCUCAACGGAUAAAAGGUACUCCGGGGAUAACAGGCUGAUACCGCCCAAGAGUUCAUAUCGACGGCGGUGUUUGGCACCUCGAUGUCGGCUCAUCACAUCCUCGGGCUGAAGUAGGUCCCAAGGGUAUGGCUGUUCGCCAUUUAAAGUGGUACGCGAGCUGGGUUUAGAACGUCGUGAGACAGUUCGGUCCCUAUCUGCCGUGGGCGCUGGAGAACUGAGGGGGGCUGCUCCUAGUACGAGAGGACCGGAGUGGACGCAUCACUGGUGUUCGGGUUGUCAUGCCAAUGGCACUGCCCGGUAGCUAAAUGCGGAAGAGAUAAGUGCUGAAAGCAUCUAAGCACGAAACUUGCCCCGAGAUGAGUUCUCCCUGACUCCUUGAGAGUCCUGAAGGAACGUUGAAGACGACGACGUUGAUAGGCCGGGUGUGUAAGCGCAGCGAUGCGUUGAGCUAACCGGUACUAAUGAACCGUGAGGCUUAACCUUACAACGCCGAAGCUGUU